GAUGAACGCUAGCGGCAGGCAUAAUACAUGCAAGUUGAACGGGAUUCAGAUAGCAAUAUUUGAUGAGAGUGGCGCACGGGUGCGUAACACGUAUGCAACUUACCUUAAACUGGGAGAUAGCCCGUGGAAACAUGGAUUAAUAUCCCAUAGUAUAAAGAACAGGCAUUUGUUUUUAUUAAAGCUCCGGCGGUUUAAGAUGGGCAUGCGCGUCAUUAGCUAGAUGGAGAGGUAACGGCUCACCAUGGCAACGAUGACUAGGGGGUCUGAGAGGAUGUCCCCCCACACUGGUACUGAGACACGGACCAGACUCCUACGGGAGGCAGCAGUAGGGAAUAUUGGGCAAUGGACGCAAGUCUGACCCAGCCAUGCCGCGUGCAGGAAGACGGCCCUCUGGGUUGUAAACUGCUUUUAUCAGGGAAGAAACCCUUCUACGUGUAGGAGGCUGACGGUACCUGAGGAAUAAGGAUCGGCUAACUCCGCGCCAGC
rnacentral:rRNA from 1 species